UACGAAGGGGGCUAGCGUUGCUCGGAAUUACUGGGCGUAAAGGGCGCGUAGGCGGCACUGUUAGUCAGGCGUGAAAUCCCCGGGCUCAACCCGGGAACUGCGUCCGAUACUGGAAGGCUUGAAUCCGGGAGAGGGAUGCGGAAUUCCAGGUGUAGCGGUGAAAUGCGUAGAUAUCUGGAGGAACACCGGUGGCGAAGGCGGCAUCCUGGACCGGCAUUGACGCUGAGGCGCGAAAGCCAGGGGAGCAAACGGG
rnacentral:rRNA from 1 species